rnacentral:rRNA from 1 species
AUUGAACGCUGGCGGCAUGCCUUACACAUGCAAGUCGAACGGCAGCACGGGGGCAACCCUGGUGGCGAGUGGCGAACGGGUGAGUAACGCAUCGGAACGUGCCCAGUAGUGGGGGAUAACCAGUCGAAAGACUGGCUAAUACCGCAUACGCCCUACGGGGGAAAGCAGGGGACCUUCGGGCCUUGCGCGAUUGGAUAUGCCCAGGUGGGAUUAGCUUGUUGGUGAGGUAAUGGCUCUCCAAGGCGACGAUCCCUAGCUGGUCUGAGAGGAUGAUCAGCCACACUGGAACUGAGACACGGUCCAGACUCCUACGGGAGGCAGCAGUGGGGAAUAUUGCACAAUGGGGGAAACCCUGAUGCAGCCAUGCCGCGUGUGUGAAGAAGGCCUUCGGGUUGUAAAGCACUUUCAGCGAGGAGGAAAGGUUGAUGCCUAAUACGCAUCAGCUGUGACGUUACUCGCAGAAGAAGCACCGGCUAACUCCGUG